rnacentral:lncRNA from 1 species
UUUUUUUUUUUUUUUGUCUUUUGUCUUUUGUCUUUUUAGGGCUGCACCUGAGGCAUAUGGAGGUUCCCAGGCUAGGGGUCUAAUUGGAGCUGUAGCUGCCAGCCUACACCACAACCAUAGCCACAGCCACGUGGGAUCCAAGCUGCAUCUGCCACCUAUACCACAUGGGAUCCCUAACACACUGAGCAAGGCAACAUGGGAUCCCUAACACAUUGAGCAAGGCCAGGGAUUGAACCUGCAUCCUCAUGGAUACUGGUCGGGUUUGUUAACCACUGAGCCACAACAGGAACUCUCAACUGGUAAAAGAGAAAAAAAAAUCCAGAAUAUAGUGAAUGGCGAAAUAUGUUGAUAUUUGGUUUUUAGAGCAAUUGUGAAAUAGAAGGAAAAUGCAGUUGUUGGAAUAAUUCAGGUCAAGUCCAAUAAAGGAGAGAGACUAAAGAAAAGGAAAAUGGUGAAGAAUGAAUGGAGAAAGGUGAGGAAGAAAGCAUAUGAAAUAUUGGUUUUGAUUUUCAGAAAAUGAAGGGUGAUGACAAAACAACCUAAGGUCACAUGGAAAGGGUAUGAAUCAGGAAAAUUCAUCCUGCUUUGGAAAGUCAUGACUCUGAGUGACUAAUGAAUAAUUUAGAAGGUGAUACUUGGAGUUUGAUUUGUGCCUGCAGAGUUCAAACUGAAAAGCUAGAAAGAAUGAAAAACCUUAAGACAGAAUUCAGAUCUCUUGUUGGAACUGUUGUUCCACGGAAGCGGAUAAAUGGAAAUCAUGCACAGUUUCAUCUUAUAAUACCCACUAGGGAUCUCUCACCUUUUUGGAAGCUUGAGGGAAGCCCCUGUACACAGUUAUCAAGAAGUAUGUGGUGGAUACAGACACAUGUUCAGAGUGGCCUAUCCACUAGUUCCAUGGUCUGUCUGAUGAAAGAUUCUCAUUAAAUGGAAGAGCUAUUUCUCCUCAGGAGAGUCACCAAAAGGAGAGAAAGAAAGAAAGAAAGUGUCCCCUUGGGUUGAGAAAGGAAUCCAAAUCCCCUGGUCACUGGGUUUGAGGCAGCAACAUGAUGAGAAGGGAGAGCUCUUUUGAUACUGAUUUCUUUUCAAGCCUUGAAAAGCUCUUGAAGCUGAUUAGAGAAAAGUCACAUCAGUGGUCUUCACAGCCUACACCCUGAAGGUUUGGGUGAUCCCUUUGUUGAGGGGUCUAGGAUCCUGGGUGUGCAAGUCUACCUUUUUAGGACAUAUAUACUGUCCCAUGAAGAGGGAAAACGGCUGGGAAAGUGUAUUAGUUAGCGAUCUUCAGAGAAGCAGAACCAAUAGGAGAAAUAGAACCAGCAGAAUACAUACAUACAGAGUUCUCUUGUGGCGCAGUGGCUUAAGAACCUGACAUUGUCGCUGCAGCAGCUCAGGUGGCUGCUAAGACAUGGGUUCAAUCCCUGGCCUGGGAACUUCCAAACACUGUGCAUGUGGCCAAGAAAAAUAAAAAAAGGAAAAAACGCACACACACACAUACAUACAUGCACAUAUACAUAAUACAUACUUACAUAUAAGCUCGGGCGAUUGUGAGAGUUGGAAAAUCUAAAAUCUUCAGGGUAGGCCAGCAGGCUGGAACUUCUAGCAGGAGUUGAUGUUGUAGUCUUGAGUCUGAAAGGUAGUGUGGAGGCAGAAUUCCUUCCUCUUCAGGGCACCCAGUCCCUCUGAAUGCAUUCAGCUGAUUGGAUGAGGACCAUCUACACUAUGGAGGGCAAUAUGCUUUAUUCAAGGGCUACUGAUUUAAAUGUUAAUCUAAAUAAUACUUUAAUGCAACAUAUAUCUUGUCCUUUCAGGUGUUUGAGGUCUUCUCCUGGUGUUCAGUAGGUGUUCUGUGAACAUCGUUCCAUUUGUAGAUGUGUUCUCGAUGGAAAGAGGUGAACUCCACGUUCUCCUAUUCUGCCACCUUGAUUCCCCUCCCCUCCUAGUGACAUCUGACUGCUGUGUACCAUGGACUAGUCAAAUUGCCACAUAAAAUUAACCGAUGCAGGAAGGAAGGAAAGAUGCUGUCUCUCAAAUUCCUCCUCUUCUUUUUCUCUUCUGCAGCAGCUAAGCAGGAUAUGAAUCUUCAGUGGUGGUGUUGGUGGUAGUGGGUCAGGGUAGUGCCUCAGGCGGUGUUCGUGUUCAGGGCUAGGCAUUGGUGGCUGCAGAGAAGGAGUGGGACCAGAAAGUGUAACAGCACAACAGGGAGCCAUACAGAACCUGUGAUGAAGAGGAGAGGGUCUGUCACACACCCACCACGGAGAGGAGGUGAAACAAGAGCAUGGGUGGGUGGGUGUAGAGGCUGGGCAGAGUUAGAGCAUCAGAAAUAAACUAGGUGGGAUCCUCUGAGAUGCUGAUCUGGGCUCUGAUUCUCUCCAUGGUGGUCCUGGCCCCAGAGACACACGUCUUGUGGCAGGCCAGAGGAUUUUCAUAAGGCUUCUUUAAAGUGCUCCAAUUAAAAGGUUUUGAAAAUAUCCAUGGGCAGUGCAUUCAUGCCACUCCAGAACCUUAGCCUCCUUACUCAGCUGUGAUGUACUGAGACGGAAUUUUGAGCCACAACAAUGGGAUCAACUGAUUUUGUUGUUAAGUAGCUUCUAAGAGCAUUUUGAAGUCUCAAAAAUGCCACAGAGGAAAAGCUCUUCUAAUCCCCUUCUCCCCUUUCCGGCUUCCCCUCUCUGCUGGCUGCAGAAAUAGAUUAACAUUUGUUAUACCUCCAUUGUAAGCAGUCAAGCAAGCAAUCGGCAUUUUAUCUUUGGUAUUUGAUUGAAGGUAGAAGACAUUUUUCAUUUAUAUUUUUGCCUGAAGGGAAAGGGGAAGCAGAUAAAGAGAAGAAAAGGCAUUGCUAUGAUGUACUUCUCCUGUAUGUAAAAGUUAUAAUAUAAUGUCGUUGUCUAGCCUUUUUCAAUUUGAUGAAUAUUCCUCCAUUAUCUGACAAAACACUCAGUGCUGGAAUAUGGUUACUUGAUAUGUAAGGGAACAUUGCAGUGGUAAUAAAGUUGUGUCAAAUAUCCUCUAAAAUGUUUAUAAGUUUGUCCUCAAGCUUUACUUUUACCUUUAAUAGAAUAAUUUGGAUUUAUGCAUUUGCUAUUCUAGAAUUCACUUUGAAAAAUGACUUGGAUUACAAGUUAACAAUUAAGAGAGACUGCAAUGAAUUUAUUCCAGGUUACAAUAUAGAUGCAAAUCUUUAUUAUUCCAAUACUAAAGACAAUCAAAAACAAGUGCAUUGUACUGAAGAAUGAUAAUAAAAUAAAUAGAAGUUUAUGCACAAGUAAAAACCUCUCCUAGAAAACUCAGGUAUACCAAGUACAAAUGAGUAUUAGCUAUACUACAAUGUAGUAAUAAUGACAUAUAUAUCUAGAGCCUUAGAUUUUUUUUUUUUAGGUUAUACUGUUUUAUUAAUAUAUACAGGUAAUUGAUUAACAAUUUUGUUAACCCUUGUUAUUAUAAAACAUCAGGAUAAUUAUUUUAACAUCAUUUUCACGAGAUUCGCUUGGUAUUUAUUGCAGAGGACCAGUAGCUUGUUGUAUAAACACAUAUCGAGACCACAAAGAGUACCACUACCUACUCACCAGAAUCAGUAUGGAGCAGUAGAUACUCAUGUAUUGCUAACUGGGGUAUAAAUGUUACAACUACUUUAUAAAACUGUCAGUUUCUUCAUUUUUAAAAAAAAUAUUGAAGUGUGGUUGACUUACAAGAUUAUAUUAGUUUCAGAUAUACAACAUAGUAAUGUGAUAUUUUUAUACAUUAUACUCUGUGAAAAGAUAUAUGCACCCUGAUAUUCAUGGCAGCAUUACUUACAAUAAAAAGCCAAGACAGGAGUUCCCUUCGUGGCGCAGUGGUUAACGAAUCCGACUAGGAACCAUGAGAUUGCGGGUUUGGUCCCUGCCCUUGCUCAGUGGGUUAACGAUCCGGCAUUGCCGUGAGCUGUGGUGUAGGUUGCAGACGCAGCUCGGAUCCCGCGUUGCUGUGGCUCUGGCGUAGGCCAGUGGCUACAGCUCCGAUCGGACCCCUAGCCUGGGAACCUCCAUAUGCCGUGGGAGUGGCCCAAAGAAAUAGCAAAAAG